GGUGUCUCUGCAUUGGUACGAGAAUACCUCCUUGCUCUUGGUAGGCACCCCCUGGAAGUCGCUGUCGUUGAUGGACGUGCGGGCCACGGUAUAGUG
rnacentral:rRNA from 11 species